GUGCUCACUUUGGCAGCACCCACACUAAAAUUGGGACGCUACGCAGAAGGCCACCAUGGCCGAAGCACAAGGAUGACACAUGAAGGAGUGAAGCGUUCUGUAAUUUU
ensembl:snRNA U6 U6 spliceosomal RNA